rnacentral:rRNA from 1 species
GUUUUCAAUGGAUGCUGUGAAGUUUUGAUUAAUUUCAACAAGACGUGAGACCCUUUUAUAUAGACAGACACAAUCAGUGUAGGAAGGAAAGGAUUAAAACAGGUCCGUUAUGCCCUCAGACAUUUUGGGCUGCACGCGCAAUACAAUAGAUAUACAGUCUUUAUGGGAUAAUAUUUUGUAAGAGAUAUUUGAACUCGGAAUUGCUAGUAAAUUUUAUUGAAUAAGUAGAAUUGAAUGUGUCCCUGUUCUUUGUACACACCGCCCGUCGCUAUCUAAGAUGAUAUAUGCUGUGAAAUUAGUGCAAACUACUUGAACAAUAUGUAUUAGAUCUGAUAUAAGUCGUAACAUGGUUGCUGUUGGAGAACCAUUAGCAGGAUCAUAA